rnacentral:lncRNA from 1 species
CAUCCUGGGCAGAAACCGUUGUCCAUGGCUCCAGCUUUUGCAGAAUGGACAUCCGCUGGCUUCUUUCCGGCCAUCUUUGCUGUGUCCCUCUUUGCAGCCGCUUGUUUCCUGGCUCUGUGCGCUUCCUGCAAAAGGACGGACAACAACAGAAUGCCAGCCCAAGAUGAGGAAUUGCGGGAUGAAGCUGCUCUGCUGAGACAGAUGGAGCUUUUACCCCUCAAGGGUUCGGCCUCUAACCUGCCAAAGCUCAAGAGGGCCAAUUCCAGAGGAAAAAAUCAAAGCUCGGCUGGAGUCAGCGUCUCUUAUGAAGAUGAUGGGACUGUGUCCAGCUGCAGUUUCAUCAUCCUCCCGCAAAGAGAUUUGCCCCAGACCCCCUCAGAGGAUCCGUUGCCUCCGGAGGAAAUGUAUUCAAACCUGACCUUCCCGAAACGAGCCCUGGAGGUGUUCUAUGAAUCUGUAAAGGUGAAUGAAGAAGAACCUGAGGAGACCUGUGUGAUCCCAGAGGAAGCUGCUGGUGGGGUCCAGGCGGACCAGCCUGUGGAGGUGGCCUAUGCCCGCGUGCUGAAAGGAAAGCAGAAGAAAAACCACAGCGGACCGGAGGUGGGGGCGUCUCAGGAGCCUUGCCCAGGAGGGACAGUUUUGACUCCAACUGUGCAGGUGCAAGACAUGUACUCUGUGGUAUGUAAGAACAAGAGGAAAACAGCCCACAGCUGUGAGGGGCUUGGUGACGAGAGAACCUCUCCAAUGAAGGCAAGCCCAGGAAACUGCCGCAGGGUGUCUGUCGGUGAUGAGGAAUCAGGUGGCAGGCCAGGAGACUGGUCCCCCUCAUCCUUCGAGUCCCCCGUGACUGAACCUUGCUAUGAGUCCGUCCGUUGCAGAUCCUGGGGAGACGCAGGCAGGGAGAAAACCACCGAACCGGCUUACGAGACUGUAGACAUCCUCUGGGAAAAUCCAAGGGCAAAAAAGAAGUUGAAGAAGAAAGUUCCUGCAGAAAACCUAUACGAGAGUAUUGAAAACUUGGCCUUUCAGUGCCAGAAUCUAAACAUGGCAUCCCGUUUUGAACUCUGAUUCCUUUGGACUUUGCCCCCUCUCCACUUGUUCGUGGGGUAUUUCCAAUACUGUAAAAUGAAUGAACGAAUAAACCCAGCAGAACCUUUAUAAAAUACUAGUGC